UACGUAGGGGGCAAGCGUUAUCCGGAUUUACUGGGUGUAAAGGGAGCGCAGGCGGUCUGACAAGUCAGAAGUGAAAUCCCAAGGCUUAACCAUGGGACUGCUUUUGAAACUGCCAGACUGGAUUGCAGGAGAGGUAAGCGGAAUUCCUGGUGUAGCGGUGAAAUGCGUAGAUAUCAGGAGGAACACCGGAGGCGAAGGCGGCUUACUGGACUGCAAAUGACGCUGAGGCUCGAAGGCGUGGGGAG
rnacentral:rRNA from 1 species